GAUAAUAUUACUUAAAUUUUUCGGAUACAGUUAAAUUUUAAUUUGAAGCUUUAUAUUAGAAUUUAUUGAGUGAAAUCAUUAAGUUUUAAAGUUGGCUAAUUAUUUGUUUGUGAGGCUGAGAAAUUUAAUAUUUAAACUAGGAUUAGAUACCCUAUUAUUUUAAACGUGAAGUUAUUUUCUGACCAGUAUUAGUUAUUUUCUUGAAAAUUAAAGAUUUUGGCGGUAUUUUAGUCUGUUCAGAGGAACCUGUCCUGUAAUUGAUGAUCCACGAUUUAUUAUACUUUCUCUUUAGUUUUCAUAUCGUCGUAGGUUGAAAAUUUUUUUAGAAUUAGAAUUUUCAUAAAUUUUUUUAUAAAGGAAAUCAGAUCAAGGUGUAGCCUAUGGGAAAGAUAGAGAUGGGUUACAUUAAUUUUAUAUAAGGAGGGUUUCUUGAAAAGUAACUUGAAUUUGGAUUUGACAGUAAUUUUAAUUAAAUUAUUAAUAUGAUUUUAGCUCUAAAAUAUGCACAUAUCGCCCGUCGCUUUCACUAUAAAGUGAAAUAAGUCGUAACAAAGUAGGCUUACUGGAAGGUGAGCCUGGAAAGUCAGGUUAGAGCUUGUUAUAAAGCAUUUUAUUUACAUUAAAAAGUUAGUUGUGAAAAUCAAUUUGACUUGAACUUUAAUUAUUACUGAAUUUUUAUUUUUUAAUUUUUAUAUAAUGAGAAUAUUAUUUUUUUAUUAUUUGUUAAGAAACAAUUUUAUUAGUUAUAGAUUAUUAGUACUGUCAAGGAAUUAAUAUAAAUAUUUAAAAGAAGAAUUAAUUUUUU
rnacentral:rRNA from 1 species